UUUAUCCCUUGGUUUAGAAAUUGAUCUUUGGAGUUUAGCGGUUGAAUUAAGUGAUUUCAGAAUAAUCUUUUUUUUUUUACUUGAUUUCAGAAUAAUCUUGGUAUGUGGUUUGUAUUGGGUUCUAUUUUAACCUUUUUCUUUUGUGCUUUAUUUUUUGCAUGAAGGGUUGUGCCAAAUCAUUGUUUCUCUUUCAAGAAAUUGGAUAAAAGUUGGAUGAAUAAACCAAGACAUAGUGAACCGUAUAUGCUUGGAGUUGAGAAGUUUUUACAGUUUGUAUUUCGUAAUCAAUCAAGAAUGGAAUGAUUUUAUGUCCAUGCGUAGAAUGCAAACUUGGUAGAUGUGUUGGAAGAAGUGAUGCACGAGAACAUUUGAUAGUUAAGGGGUUUAUUAAAGGG
rnacentral:lncRNA from 1 species